UGACAGAGGAGAGUGAGCAC
rnacentral:miRNA from 2 species